rnacentral:rRNA from 1 species
GGGCCCGCACAAGCGGCGGAGCAUGCGGCUUAAUUCGAUGCAACGCGAAGAACCUUACCUAGGCUUGACAGUUGGGGAAAACUGGCAGAGAUGUCAGGUCCGCAAGGGCCCCAAAACAGGUGGUGCAUGGCUGUCGUCAGCUCGUGUCGUGAGAUGUUGGGUUAAGUCCCGCAACGAGCGCAACCCUCGUCGUAUGUUGCCAGCAAGUAAAGUUGGGGACUCAUACGAGACUGCCGGGGUCAACUCGGAGGAAGGUGGGGAUGACGUCAAGUCAUCAUGCCCCUUAUGUCUAGGGCUGCACGCAUGCUACAAUGGCUGGUACAAAGGGCUGCGAUACCGCAAGGUGGAGCGAAUCCCAAAAAGCCAGUCUCAGUUCGGAUUGGGGUCUGCAACUCGACCCCAUGAAGUCGGAGUCGCUAGUAAUCGCAGAUCAGCAACGCUGCGGUGAAUACGUUCCCGGGCCUU